UACGUAGGGGGCGAGCGUUGUCCGGAUUUAUUGGGCGUAAAGAGCUCGUAGGCGGUUUGGCAAGUCGGGUGUGAAAACUCCGGGCUCAACUCGGAGACGCCACUCGAUACUGCCAUGACUCGAGUCCGGUAGGGAAGUGCGGAAUUCCUGGUGUAGCGGUGAAAUGCGCAGAUAUCAGGAGGAACACCGGUGGCGAAGGCGGCACUCUGGGCCGGUACUGACGCUGAGGAGCGAAAGCGUGGGGAGCGAACAGG
rnacentral:rRNA from 1 species